CAUAUCAAUAAGCGGAGGAAAAGAAACUAACAAGGAUUCCCCUAGUAACGGCGAGUGAAGCGGGAAGAGCUCAAAUUUGAAAUCUAGUAGCCUUCGGCUGCUCGAGUUGUAAUCUAGAGAAGUGUUUUCCGUGCCGGCCCAUGUACAAGUCCCUUGGAACAGGGCGUCAUAGAGGGUGAGAAUCCCGUCCUUGACAUGGACCCCCGGUGCUCUGUGAUACACUUUCAACGAGUCGAGUUGUUUGGGAAUGCAGCUCAAAAUGGGUGGUGAAUUCCAUCUAAAGCUAAAUAUUGGCGAGAGACCGAUAGCGAACAAGUACCGUGAGGGAAAGAUGAAAAGCACUUUGGAAAGAGAGUUAAACAGUACGUGAAAUUGUUGAAAGGGAAACGAUUGAAGUCAGUCAUGCUCUUUGGUAUUUAUAUCAUUGAGUGGGGUCAACAUCAGUUUUGAGCGAUGGAUAAAGGCACUAGGAAGGUAGCACUCUCGGGUGAACUUAUAGCCUAGCGUCAUAUACAUUGUUUGGGACUGAGGAACGCAGCAUGCCUUUAUGGCCGGGAUUCGUCCACGUACAUGCUUAGGAUGUUGACAUAAUGGCUUUAAACGAC
rnacentral:rRNA from 1 species